AUACAAUGGAGAGUUUGAUCCUGGCUCAGGAUGAACGCUAGCGGGAGGCCUAACACAUGCAAGCCGAGCGGUAGAUUACUUUCGGGUAAUUG
rnacentral:rRNA from 1 species